rnacentral:rRNA from 1 species
ACGGAGGGUGCAAGCGUUAAUCGGAAUUACUGGGCGUAAAGCGUGCGUAGGUGGUUGACUAAGUUAUCUGUGAAAUCCCCGGGCUUAACCUGGGCAGGUCAGAUGAUACUGGUUGACUCGAGUAUGGGAGAGGGUAGUGGAAUUUCCGGUGUAGCGGUGAAAUGCGUAGAGAUCGGAAGGAACACCAGUGGCGAAGGCGGCUACCUGGCCUAAUACUGACACUGAGGCACGAAAGCGUGGGGAGCAAACA